AACCUAUGAUGAGGGCAUCUUCUUAAGAGAUCCUUAAAUCUCUCUCAUGCAUCAUAUACUGUGUCCAGCUCAAUUUGGGCAAACAAAGUGAUGUCACUCCUCAACUU
rfam:Gossypium arboreum cultivar AKA8401 contig_28363_1, whole genome shotgun sequence.